AAUUCGAUUGAGUUUGAUCAUGGCUCAGAAUCAACGCUGGCGGCGUGCCUCAGACAUGCAAGUCGAACGAUUAAACUUUCCUUCGGGAAAGAUAUAAAGUGGCGCACGGGUGAGUAACACGUAAGUAAUCUACCUCGGGGUGGGGAAUAACGUUCGGAAACGAACGCCAAUACCGCAUAAUGCAGCGGCUUCUUAUGAAGACAGUUGUUAAAGCAUUUAUGUGCCUGGAGAGGAGCUUGCGGCAGAUUAGCUAGUUGGUAAGGUAAUGGCUUACCAAGGCAACGAUCUGUAGUCGACCUGAGAGGGUGGUCGGUCACACUGACACUGAAUAACGGGUCAGACUCCUACGGGAGGCAGCAGUCGGGAAUUUUGGGCAAUGGGCGAAAGCCUGACCCAGCAACGCCGCGUGAAGGAUGAAGUAUUUCGGUAUGUAAACUUCGUAAAAAUGGGAAGAAUAAAUGACGGUACCAUUUGUAAGGUCCGGCUAACUACGUGCCAGCAGCCGCGGUAAUACGUAGGGACCAAGCGUUGUUCGGAUUUACUGGGCGUAAAGGGCGCGUAGGCGGCGUGACAAGUCACUUGUGAAAUCUCCGGGCUUAACUCGGAACGGUCAAGUGAUACUGUUGUGCUAGAGUACAGAAGGGGCAAUCGGAAUUCUUGGUGUAGCGGUGAAAUG
rnacentral:rRNA from 1 species